AAUGGGAUAGCUGGGUCAUUUAGUGUUCUAUCCCUAGUUUUUAAAGGAAUCUCCAUAUUGCUUUCCAGAGUGGUUGUAGUGGUCUGUAGUCCCACCAGCAGU
rnacentral:miRNA from 1 species